GGCCUAACCACCUAGGCACGCAGUACAGAAUAUAAGACAUUAUAGUCUCUUGGUCACUAGCUACUCAUCUCUUGGUCUAGCCCUUGAAGCCAUAAGAGCAACAUUAGUAUGGAAAUACUUUUUCAUUCUCUCAUAGAAUACUAGAUACACACAGGUCCUAGGGAUGAUCACAAGCAGACAAUGUCAGCAGCCUCCUUAGGAUGCAUGGAACCAAGACUCCAGAGCUGGGGACCGAACCCAGGGCCUUGCCCUUCUUAGGUGCUGGACUGUGUGCUAAAGGAUCCUGUCUUUGCAAAACCUUAAUUUGGCUGACAGAGUCGCAUCUCAGGUUGAUGCCACCGAGGACAUGUACAUGCUGUUCCUGAUGUAACCAAAAGUUCGAAGCCUGGAUGCAUGUAUAUUCAAAAUGCUGACUGAACCAGAGAAGACAUGUUUGCAACCCGGUUAGACAAAUUACUGGAAAGGUACUUUCUGUCCAAACAUGAGAAGCUGAUUUCAGAUCUCCAGACUCUACAUAAAAACCUGGGAAUUGAUCCAUGUAUGUGUAUAUAUAAAGACAGAUGAAGAUAAGUGUAUCCUAAAUAUUUGCUGGCUGGCUAACCUCAUUGAAACAGUGAGCUUCUGGUUCAGUGAGAGAACCUACUUAAAGGCAGUAAGGCAGAGUACAAUACCCAAGACACCUAAUGUCCUUUCCAGUUCUG
rnacentral:lncRNA from 1 species